rnacentral:rRNA from 1 species
UACGGAAGGGGCAAGCGUUGUUCGGAAUUAUUGGGCGUAAAGGGCGCGUAGGCGGCUCCAUAUGUCGGCGGUGAAAGCAUACAGCUCAACUGUAUUGAGCCGCGGAAACUGUGGAGCUUGAGGCUGGGAGGGGCUGGUGGAAUUCCCUGUGUAGCGGUGAAAUGCGUAGAGAUGGGGGAGAACACUCGUGGCGAAGGCGGCCAGCUGGACCAGUUCUGACGCUGAGGCGCGAAAGCGUGGGGAGCAAACAGGAUUAGAUACCCCCGUAGUCC